GAAAAACUGACGGGAGAAGAGAAGAAAAGGGGAGGAAGAAGAAGAGAAAAGGGGGAAAGAUAAGGGAAGGAGAAGAGAGUUGGAGAAAAUAAGUUUAAAGGUUCUUAGUUUCUGAUAGCAGGUGGACUUUGUUGAGUGUUCCUGUUUCUUCAGUUUUGGUCGGUAUGCCUUGCUUGUUUUGGGAGGCUUUCCUUUUAGUUUUGAUUCGAUGUCUUAGACGCUCCACUAUUACCUUGUUUCAAUUAAGUUUGGAUUUUAACAAUGUAGUGAGUAUUAUGAAUUAUUGUCUUUGUUUUAAUUACUGAUGAAGAGUUUUAAACUAUCUUUUGGUUUCAUCAGUUUUGAAUAAUAUAAUAUUUCUGAA